UACAGAGACUGCAAGCGUUAUUCGGAUUCACUGGGCGUAAAGCGUGCGCAGGCGGUUCGUUGUGUCGGCGGUGAAAGCCCCGGGCUUAACCUGGGAAUGGCCGUUGAAACUGGCGAACUGGAGUGUGGCAGAGGGGGGUGGAAUUCCGCGUGUAGCAGUGAAAUGCGUAGAGAUGCGGAGGAACACCGAUGGCGAAGGCAGCCCCCUGGGCUAACACUGACGCUCAGGCACGAAAGCGUGGGGAGCAAACAGG
rnacentral:rRNA from 1 species